rnacentral:misc_RNA from 1 species
GAUGAAGAACGCAGCGAAAUGCGAUAAGUAAUGUGAAUUGCAGAAUUCAGUGAACCAUCGAAUCUUUGAACGCACAUUGCGCCCGCCAGUAUUCUGGCGGGCAUGCCUGUUCGAGCGUCAUUACAACCCUCAGGCCCCCGGGCCUGGCGUUGGGGAUCGGCGGAGCCCCCCGUGGGCACACGCCGUCCCCCAAAUGCAGUGGCGGUCCCGCCGCAGCUUCCAUCGCGUAGUAGCUAACACCUCGCGACUGGAGAGCGGCGCGGCCACGCCGUAAAACACCCAACUCUUCUGAAGUUGACCUCGAAUCAGGUAGGAAUACCCGCUGAACUUAAGCAUAUCAAUAAGCGGAGGA